rnacentral:rRNA from 1 species
UACGGAGGAUGCAAGCGUUAUCCGGAAUGAUUGGGCGUAAAGCGUCCGCAGGUGGCACUUCAAGUCUGCUGUCAAAGACUGGGGCUCAACUCCAGAAAGGCGGUGGAAACUGAAGAGCUAGAGAGCGGUAGGGGUAGAGGGAAUUCCCGGUGUAGCGGUGAAAUGCGUAGAGAUCGGGAAGAACACCAGUGGCGAAAGCGCUCUACUAGGCCGCAACUGACACUGAGGGACGAAAGCUAGGGGAGCGAAU